CAGUCCUUGCACAUAAAGGCAAAGAGGAAAAAUUAGACGACGGUAGGGACGACCUAUUAACGUCUGCUUUUCCCUCUGCUAAAUGGGAAGACAACAAAGGCCGCUCCACCUUUCACCUGACUGCCACUCAUCACGCACUUCAGCAUAGCUGCCAUACGCUCUAAAAAGCAGGCCCGGAAGGCGCGCCUCAGCUCGACGGCCCAGGUGCCCGGAUGUUGCCCGCGCUUUUCGAAGCUUCGCGAUCUUGUCUCUGCACUCCACCACCCCGCCUCCACAAGUUCCCAAACUGCUUUACAGCGGAGAAGGGCCCGUGCGGGCCUCCGUACGGCAGUUUCUGUCGCCCUCUGUGCUCAUUGGUUGCGGUUAAGUAGGCGGGUCGCCGAGGGGCCUGAGGAAGAGGGCGGCGGCGGCGGUGGUGGUGACUGAGCGGAGCCCGGUGACAGGAUGGUGAGGGCUGCAGCUGUGGCGACAGAGGCCUGGCUCUCGGCUGGGGUGCUGCGUUGUUGGGAGCUGUGGGGAGUCCCAGGAGGAGGGAUUGGGAAAUCCCGGAGGCCUCGGCGUCAGGGCCCACGCGCUGGCCUGGGAAAGGCCCAGGAAGAGCGCUAGGGAAGGAAGGGAGCGGCCACCUCUGGGUGCGGCUGGCCUAGGUCUCGUAUCCCGGCCCCAAGGGGCCAGAGGCCAUCCAAGGAGUAAAAAGGCCCAUCUAAGCUGCCCGACCUGUCACGAGACCCGCACUCCCGAGCCAGGGAAGGCCAUUGAUUCUAUACCUCGAGUGUUCCGGGGAUAGGGGCACGGUCCUCCUCUGUUUCCAGACGUUUCCUACUCCUUUCCCGCAAAAAGCAUCUCCCGCUGGUUGGGGUGUAGUGGUGGAAGCUGGCCUCUCGAAUGCAGAACGGGAAGUAGCGAGCAGAAUUUCGUACCCGUUUAAGUUUCCCAUCUAGGGAAAGGGAAUAAACGACCCUUUUCGCCCCUGAAAUAACAUCCAGCUGCCAUUGAAAUGAACAGGUGUGCGCUCAGAGGGCGGGAUUUGGCGCUUGCAAUUGCUGGAGCUACUUCUUUCCACGGGUUGCUACGCCCCUUUAGGGUAGGAUUCCUUAAUGAUGUGUGAACUCCUUGAAAUUGUUAGGAAAUUUUUAUGAAUAUAUACAUUUUUUUCUGGGGAGAAUGCCGGUGUUGGAGACUUGCCUAGUCUCCAGCCACCUUCAAGCAAUCACCCCUUCACUCCCAGUAGGUUGGUGCCCCUCAGACCUUCCUACAUAAAAAUUGGGGGCC